CUCCCUCUUAUCUUCUCCAUCCUCUCUCAUCUCCUGACCACAAACUAACCACCGCCUGCGUUCUUCUCUCCGGCGUCCGCCGGAGGAGUCUCUCCCUCUCUCUCUCGUCUUCUACUUUACUGCUCCGCGACCUCUCUCUUUCCCGUGCGAGAUCCUGGGCUGUCAUGUCUCUCCGGCGAGUUCUCCAUGCGCAAGGAGUGUCUUUCCAGUGACGUUUGGCUUCUACUGGUUUCUUGGCGAGGCGUGACAAGGUCUGUUUCGUGGAGUGGUCGGCCUGUUGAGUUCGAAGCAGACCGAUUCUUCAAUUCAGAUCUACUUCGUCCUUUCCGCCCUUGUUGGUUUUGGGAGUCUCGGUUUGCUUUCCCGCUCUGUUUGGUGGUGGUUUCGGCCUGCACCGUUCUCUGAGUCGGGCUCCAGAUGUGUCGCUUGACAUUGGAGGCGAGGCGAGCAUAGAGUUUUCAGUACUGAGCUCUUUCAGGUUCGUGUGGGUUGGAAUAAAUGAAUGCGAUGAUGAAGCCGCAUUUUCAGAAUCAGAACCAAUCUAAGGAAUCCGAGGCGGCAAAUCUACGCUCGCUAAAGGAUCUCGAGAGGGAGAGAAAGGAGAAGGAAGAGUACAAGAAGAUGGAGAGGAAGAGCGAGGAACUACUGAUCUGGAACGAGGAGCUUUUGAUUGUGUUAGAUAAACAAGAGGAGGAGGAGGAGGAGAAAAGGCAGAGCAAGUAUGAUGACUAAGCAAAUAAAUGUGAUGAGAUUGAGAUUUGAGAAGGAGUGUUCGGAUUUAAAAACACUCUAUGAAGAUUCUAAGAAACUCAACUUUCGUCAAGGAAAGAACAAUGUGGCUAUGGAAGAUGAUGUAUUUGUGGUGGGUGAGAAUCUCAAUAUGAACAACAACAACACAGUUGCUGAUGCGAUUGUGCUUGGUGACGAGAGUGAUGCUGAGAAUGAUAAUCCCACAAGAGAGAGCAACAUAAACACGGAGUAAACACUCCACUGUGUGAUCACUUUCUUCUUUGUGCUUGCUUCUAGUGUUGUUGUAUUGCCAGUUCGUUGACAACGAAGACUUGCAUUCACUUCAAAGGAUAACUUAGGUUUCUUUUAUUUUGAUAUGUUAAAGCUUGUUGAGGCAUUGGUUCGUAGAUGAAUUUCCUAGACGUAGCAAAUGAAAUAAUGUAUGUAUUGAAAAAUUAAUGAAAUAUAAUUUCUCAUAUUUAGAUCAAA